rnacentral:rRNA from 1 species
UACGUAGGGUGCAAGCGUUGUCCGGAAUUAUUGGGCGUAAAGAGCUCGUAGGCGGUUUGUUGCGUCGGCUGUGAAAUCCCGAGGCUCAACCUCGGGUCUGCAGUCGAUACGAGCAAACUAGAGUGUUGCAGGGGAGACUGGAAUUCCUGGUGUAGCGGUGAAAUGCGCAGAUAUCUGGAGGAAUACCGGUGGCGAAGGCGGCAUCCUGGACCGAGAUUGACACUGAUGAGCGAAAGCUAGGGGAGCAAACGGG